rnacentral:rRNA from 1 species
UUUAAAUUUAGAGUUUGAUCCUGGCUCAGGACGAACGCUGGCGGCGUGCUUAACACAUGCAAGUCGAGCGAUGAAGCUUCCUUCGGGAAGCGGAUUAGCGGCGGACGGGUGAGUAACACGUGGGUAACCUGCCUCAAAGUGGGGGAUAGCCUUCCGAAAGGAAGAUUAAUACCGCAUAAUAUAGGAGAAUCGCAUGAUUUUCUUAUCAAAGAUUUAUUGCUUUGAGAUGGACCCGCGGCGCAUUAGCUAGUUGGUAAGGUAACGGCUUACCAAGGCAACGAUGCGUAGCCGACCUGAGAGGGUGAUCGGCC